GAACGCUGGCGGCGUAGCUUAACACAUGCAAGUCGAACGAAGCACUCAGAUCUCUUCGGAGUGAUGAGUGACUGAGUGGCGGACGGGUGAGUAACGCGUGGGUAACCUGCCUCGUACAGGGGGACAACAGUUGGAAACGACUGCUAAUACCGCAUGAGCGCACGGUAUCGCAUGAUACAGUGUGAAAAGCUGAGGCGGUACGAGAUGGACCCGCGUUGGAUUAGCUAGUUGGUGGGGUAACGGCCUACCAAGGCGACGAUCCAUAGCCGACCUGAGAGGGUGACCGGCCACAUUGGGACUGAGACACGGCCCAAACUCCUACGGGAGGCAGCAGUGGGGAAUAUUGCACAAUGGGCGAAAGCCUGAUGCAGCGACGCCGCGUGAGCGAUGAAGUAUUUCGGUAUGUAAAGCUCUAUCAGCAGGGAAGAAAAUGACGGUACCUGACUAAGAAGCUCCGGCUAAAUACGUG
rnacentral:rRNA from 1 species